rnacentral:rRNA from 1 species
AUUUAACGCUGGCGGUAGGCCUAACACCUGCAAGUCGAGCGAGCGGCGGACGGGUGAGUAAUGUAUGGGGCCUGCCCGAUCGCGGGGGAUAACUACUGGAAACGGUGGCUAAUACCGCCUACUAUCGGAUAACCCAUAUGGGAUUAGCUAGUAGGUGGGGUAAAGGCUGACCGAGGCCACGAUCUCUAGCUGGUCUGAGAGGAUGAUCAGCCACCCGGGGACGGAGACACGGCCCAGAGUCCGCCGGAGGCAGCAGUGGGGAAUAUUGCACAAGGGGCGAAAGCCUGAGGCAGACAUGGCGCGUGUAUGAAGAAGGCCUGAGGGGUGUAAAGUACUUACAGCGGGGAGGCGUUACCCGCAGAAGAAGCACCGGCUAACUCCGUGCCAGCAGCCGCGGUAAUAC